GUGCCAGCCGCCGCGGUAAUACGUAGGGGGCAAGCGUUGUCCGGAAUCAUUGGGCGUAAAGCGCGCGUAGGCGGCCUCACAAGUCCGCUGUGAAAGUCAAAGGCUCAACCUUUGAAAGCCAGUGGAAACUGUGAGGCUAGAGUCCGGAAGAGGCGAGUGGAAUUCCUGGUGUAGCGGUGGAAUGCGCAGAUAUCAGGAGGAACACCAACGGCGAAGGCAGCUCGCUGGGACGGUACUGACGCUGAGGCGCGAAAGCGUGGGGAGCAAACAGGAUUAGAAACCCGGGUAGUCC
rnacentral:rRNA from 1 species